CUCAACUUGGAAUCAAAGAGGUGGUUGAUCUUGCUCUAAGUGCAAACAGAAGCAGCCCAAUGGCCAUGGAUAACUCUAGCUACAGUCUGCCCACUUCCCAAACUCAUUCCCAGCAGCGGUGCCACAUAUGAGUAGAGACAUACUCCAUAAGAGAGUAAUGCUAACUCCACAGCACACACCCAAAGAAUCUCUGAAAGACGUGGUGCUGCUACCUUCUCGGAUGCCUCCAAGUCCUACUCCUACCACCAGCAGUGCUACUGACAAGUGUUGUUUG
rnacentral:lncRNA from 1 species